rfam:Strongylocentrotus purpuratus Contig103539_fixed, whole genome shotgun sequence.
UAGCUCAGUCGGUAGAGCAGUGGUCUCUUAAUCCGGUGACCCGGGUUCGAAACCCAG